AAUAUUGGACACUGGGGGCAACCCUGCUCCAGCCAUGCCGCGUGUGUGAAGAAGGUCUUCGGAUUGUAAAGCACUUUAAGCUGGGAGGAAGGGCUUUAGGUUAAUACCCUGAAGUUUUGACGUUACCAACAGAACACGCCCCCGCUAACUCUGCGCCAGCAGCCGCGGUAAUACAGAGGGUGCAAGCGUUAAUCGGGAUUAAUGGGCGUAAAGAGAGGGUAGGUGGUUCAGUAAGAUGGGUGUGAAAGCCCCGGGCUUAACCUGGGAACUGCUUUCAUAACUGCUGAGCUAGAGUACGGUAGAGGGUAGUGGAAUUUCCUGUGUAGCGGUGAAAUGCGUAGAUAUAGGAAGGAACAACAGUGGCGAAGGCGACUACCUGGACUGAUACUGACACUGAGGUGCGAAAGCGUGGGGAGCAAAC
rnacentral:rRNA from 1 species